GAGAGUGUGGCUCAGUGGGAGAGUGCUUACCUAGCAUGUAGGAGGCUCUGAGUUUGAACCCCAGCACCACA
rnacentral:tRNA from 1 species